GAGUUUGAUCCUGGCUCAGGACGAACGCUAGUGAUAGGCCUAACACAUGCAAGUCGAGGGGCAGCACAUAGAGUAGCAAUACUUUUGGUGGCGACCGGCGGAUGUGUGAGUAACACGUGUGCAACCUACCUUCUACAGUGGAAUAACCCGUUGAAAGACGGACUAAUGCCGCAUAACACAGGGGCUCCGCAUGGAGAUAUUUGUUAAAGAUUCAUCGGUAGAAGAUGGGCAUGCGUAUGAUUAGCUAGUUGGUAAGGUAACGGCUUACCAAGGCAACGAUCAUUAGGGGUUCUGAGAGGAAGGUCCCCCACACUGGUACUGAGACACGGACCAGACUCCUACGGGAGGCAGCAGUGAGGAAUAUUGGUCAAUGAGCGAGAGCUUGAACCAGCCAAGUCGCGUGAAGGAAGACUGUCCUAUGGAUUGUAAACUUCUUUUGUCAGGGAAUAAAGUUAACCACGUGUGGUUUUUUGCAUGUACCUGACGAAUAAGGAUCGGCUAACUCCGUGCCAGCAGCCGCGGUAAUACGGAGGAUCCGAGCGUUAUCCGGAUUUAUUGGGUUUAAAGGGUGCGUANGUGGACUGGUAAGUCAGUGGUGAAAGUUUGCAGCUUAACUGUAAAAUUGCCAUUGAAACUGUUGGUCUUGAGUGCAAAUGAGGUAGGCGGAAUGUGUUGUGUAGCGGUGAAAUGCUUAGAUAUGACACAGAACUCCGAUUGCGAAGGCAGCUUACUGGGAUGCCACUGACACUGAGGCACGAAAGCGUGGGUAUCANACAGGAUUAGAUACCCGGUAGUCCACGCAGUAAACGAUGAAUACUAGUUGUCUGCGAUAUACUGUAGGUGACACAGCGAAAGCGUUAAGUAUUCCACCUGGGGAGUACGUUCGCAAGAAUGAAACUCAAAGGAAUUGACGGGGGCCCGCACAAGCGGAGGAACAUGUGGUUUAAUUCGAUGAUACGCGAGGAACCUUACCCGGGCUUGAAAUGCAGAAGACCGAAGUGGAAACACUUCUUCCAGCAAUGGCUUCUGUGUAGGUGCUGCAUGGUUGUCGUCAGCUCGUGCCGUGAGGUGUCGGCUUAAGUGCCAUAACGAGCGCAACCCUUGCCGGUAGUUACAAACAGGUUAUGCUGUGGACUCUACCGGGACUGCCAUCGUAAGAUGCGAGGAAGGUGGGGAUGACGUCAAAUCAGCACGGCCCUUACGUCCGGGGCGACACACGUGUUACAAUGGGUGGUACAGCGGGUUGCUACCGGGUGACCGGAUGCCAAUCUCUUAAAUCCACUCUCAGUUCGGAUCGAAGUCUGCAACUCGACUUCGUGAAGCUGGAUUCGCUAGUAAUCGCGCAUCAGCCACGGCGCGGUGAAUACGUUCCCGGGCCUUGUACACACCGCCCGUC
rnacentral:rRNA from 1 species